GUCUACAUUCUCAUGCAUGGAUUUACUUUGGUGUAGUGCAUGGCCAUUAGUUCCACUUGCCAUGAUGCCUUCACGCCACCUAGCAAUCCCAUGCAACCAAUGUCCCAUGUGCCGCUCCAUUUGGUGCGCUUCACUUUGCAUGAAUUGCUCACUUCAUCUCAUGCAUGUAUUCACUUCACAUUGCAUGUAUUGGCCACUCGUCUCAUGCAUGGUUUCAUUUGGCAUUGCCACGCCACAUGUCCCACUAAAUGAU
rnacentral:misc_RNA from 1 species